rnacentral:lncRNA from 1 species
UGUAAGAACCUUUUUAUUUACUAUAAUAUGAGUUUAUAAUACUGUUCAAGUAAUUUUUGAUACAAGUUUAAUGAUUAUUUUCUCGCAUUUUGCAAUGUUUAUGUCGUUGUAUGGUAUGUCGGUUUGACAAUCAAAAUACAUUGUUUUGUAAACAAUACUUACCUGGUAUGAUACUUACGUGGUUAAUACUUACCUUUUUCCCUUUUUGUAAUUCCCUAGACCUGAGAUUCCCAUUUUUUCGGGUUUUCAGUUGUUUAUUCUAUACCCCCUUUUUUCGUGUGAAAAAAUGUAUGGAACGCAUUUCGUGUCAUAUUUGUAAUUUAUUAUUUUUUGGUAAUUUCAUAUAACAACU